UCUUCCCUCUUCCUAGAACAAUCUUCUCCCAGAGCUCAGCAAGGGUUCCAGCACACAGGGCUCUGUGGAUAUGUCGCCUUCAUGGAGAGGCCUUCUCUGAACACUGGCCGUCAUGGAAUAAUAAUAGUAGUGCUUCCUAGGUGUUUUCCGUGUGCCAGGCCCCAUAUUUACUUUCCAGGUCUUCACUCUUUGAAUCCUCACUACAACUCCAUAAGAUGGGACAGGAAGCAGUUGGGAAUGGUGCAGGAGAUCCAAAUGGAAACAGCAGAAACACAUGGAGGUGGCUGAGCACAUGCGGGGACCAGGCGGUCACUUUGCAGAAGGAAGAACGAAUCUGACUGGCUGAAGGAAGUUGACUCAGAUCGUGAAGAGCUUCCGGGACAGUUAAUGAUAUCUUUGGAGUCUUCCAGCACAAUAGAUAUUUUCUAAGGAACUACUGGACAAAGCCACCAAGUGCAUGUUCCAGACCACUGGCACUAGACAUCUCGAAGCCAAGACCCCCGGCUCUAAGGAGUGAGUGACUUAUGAUGGACAUCUGGACCCUGUCCUUUUGCCGACCAGUUCUUGGAUGUCUGAGAGGACACGUGCAUCAGAUCACAAUUGUCGAUAAAUCCCCCAGAUCCCAAGCAAAGACGAGACUCAUGCACCUUUCCUUUCCGAGUCUCCCAGAUGCUCUGUCUGUGUCUGUUUUUCCUGUAUCUUCAAUAAACUGCUUUUACCUCCUGCUGGCUCGAGUUUGGUUUCCAUCCUGAGUGGAGGAGCCAAGGACCCUCUUGGCUACUCCUGCAGGACCCUCCUUAGGUCUUCGGACCCUGCCUGCCUGCAUCAAAGCUAAGAAGUUGGGAUCUCGUUCAGUAAGUAGUCUGAAGCCGUUGAAAGUUUUUAAAGUUGCUUGAAUGAUCCAAAUUUCUUACUGAAGUUUACAAGACUCGAGGAUGUGGCAUCCCUCACGCUCUUGUGCCUGAGUGUAAAAUAUUCUUCACAAUCCCUGUACUCCUGGCUAAAUCCUAGUCCUUCAGUUCUUAAUUUGAACAUAGAUUUCUAAGAAGCCUUGCUGACACCAUCCCAUUUCUCCCAAGCCUGGGCAGGUGCCCCUUUCCGGGUUCCCACACCCCGCACUGUG